rnacentral:rRNA from 1 species
AUUGAACGCUGGCGGCAGGCCUAACACAUGCAAGUCGAGCGGAUGAAGGGAGCUUGCUCCUGGAUUCAGCGGCGGACGGGUGAGUAAUGCCUAGGAAUCUGCCUGGUAGUGGGGGAUAACGUCCGGAAACGGGCGCUAAUACCGCAUACGUCCUGAGGGAGAAAGUGGGGGACCUUCGGACCUCACGCUAUCAGAUGAGCCUAGGUCGGAUUAGCUAGUUGGUGGGGUAAAGGCCUACCAAGGCGACGAUCCGUAACUGGUCUGAGAGGAUGAUCAGUCACACUGGAACUGAGACACGGUCCAGACUCCUACGGGAGGCAGCAGUGGGGAAUAUUGGACAAUGGGCGAAAGCCUGAUCCAGCCAUGCCGCGUGUGUGAAGAAGGUCUUCGGAUUGUAGAGCACUUUAAGUUGGGAGGAAGGGCAGUAAGUUAAUACCUUGCUGUUUUGACGUUACCAACAGAAUAAGCACCGGCUAACUUCGUG